CAAGGGCUCCAAGGAUGCCCAGGAGGAAAGGCGGCUCCAAAAGACUAGAGGUGCCCUAACGUUCCAGGGAGGCAGGAAGGUUGCUGGGCUAAAGGUAUUCUAGCACACAUACCCCAAAAAGAGAAUGUUGUCUCAGAGGAAAGAGCAGAGCUGUCUCCCCCAGACCCACUCUAGAAGGCAGCAAAGAGUAAUGUAGAAAUAUCCCCACUCUGCCAGGGGCAUCAUGGUGCAUGCCUAUAAUCCCAGUGACUAGGGAGGCUGAGGCAGGGGAAUUGCUUGAACCCAGGAGGCGGAGGUUGCGGUGAACCUAGAUCACGCCACUGCACUCCAGCCUGGGCAACAGAGCGAGACUCCGUCUCAAAAUAAAAUAAAUAAAAUAAAAAAUAAAAAUAAAUAAAUGAAACAGAUAAAGGGAAGACUUAAAAAUUAUAAGAUACUUCGCUAUUAUUUGCUAACGAAUUUGAAGAUCUCAAUGACAAGAAUUUCUGUGGGAAAAUAUAAAUUCUCAAAACUGACCCUAUAAGGCUUUUUAAGACCAAUAAUCAAGAAAAAAGUUGAAGACGUUACCAAAUAUUUACUUCCGUAAAAGACUCUAGGUCCAGAUGUUGAAUCUGCUUUCAAGAACUGCUAAUUUUUGUCAUAUAAACUGUUCUACCACAUUAAA
rnacentral:lncRNA from 1 species